rnacentral:rRNA from 1 species
UACGUAGGUGGCAAGCGUUGUCCGGAAUUAUUGGGCGUAAAGCGCGCGCAGGUGGUUCCUUAAGUCUGAUGUGAAAGCCCACGGCUCAACCGUGGAGGGUCAUUGGAAACUGGGGAACUUGAGUGCAGAAGAGGAAGGUGGAAUUCCAAGUGUAGCGGUGAAAUGCGUAGAGAUUUGGAGGAACACCAGUGGCGAAGGCGACUUUCUGGUCUGUAACUGACACUGAGGCGCGAAAGCGUGGGGAGCAAACAGG